AUUAGCUAGUUGGUGAGGUAACGGCUCACCAAGGCCGUGAUGCAUAGCCGACCUGAGAGGGUGAUCGGCCACAUUGGGACUGAGACACGGCCCAAACUCCUACGGGAGGCAGCAGUAGGGAAUCUUCCGCAAUGGACGCAAGUCUGACGGAGCAACGCCGCGUGAGUGAAGAAGGUUUUCGGAUCGUAAAACUCUGUUGUUAGAGAAGAACAAGUGCUAGAGUAACUGUUAGCGCCUUGACGGUAUCUAACCAGAAAGCCGCGGCUAACUACGUGCCAGCAGCCGCGGUAAUACGUAGGUGGCAAGCGUUGUCCGGAUUUAUUGGGCGUAAAGCGAGCGCAGGCGGUUCCUUAAGUCUGAUGUGAAAGCCCCCGGCUCAACCGGGGAGGGUCAUUGGAAACUGGGGAACUUGAGUGCAGAAGAGGAGAGUGGAAUUCCAUGUGUAGCGGUGAAAUGCGUAGAUAUAUGGAGGAACACCAGUGGCGAAGGCGACUCUCUGGUCUGUAACUGACGCUGAGGCUCGAAAGCGUGGGUAGCAAACAGGAUUAGAUACCCUGGUAGUCCACGCCGUAAACGAUGA
rnacentral:rRNA from 1 species